AUUGAACGCUGGCGGCAUGCCUUACACAUGCAAGUCGAACGGUAACAGGUUAAGCUGACGAGUGGCGAACGGGUGAGUAAUAUAUCGGAACGUGCCCAGUCGUGGGGGAUAACUGCUCGAAAGAGCAGCUAAUACCGCAUACGACCUGAGGGUGAAAGCGGGGGAUCGCAAGACCUCGCGCGAUUGGAGCGGCCGAUAUCAGAUUAGGUAGUUGGUGGGGUAAAGGCCCACCAAGCCAACGAUCUGUAGCUGGUCUGAGAGGACGACCAGCCACACUGGGACUGAGACACGGCCCAGACUCCUACGGGAGGCAGCAGUGGGGAAUUUUGGACAAUGGGCGCAAGCCUGAUCCAGCCAUGCCGCGUGCGGGAAGAAGGCCUUCGGGUUGUAAACCGCUUUUGUCAGGGAAGAAAAGGUUCUGGUUAAUACCUGGGACUCAUGACGUACCUGAAAGAUAAG
rnacentral:rRNA from 1 species